CUUUUAAAUCAUGCAAGAUUAUGGCCUGAUAAAAAAAUGUUCAUCAUAUUGGCAGCUUAAUGAUGAAACCCGUGUCUACAUUCAAAUUUCGGGCUAGUGAUAAAUUUUGUGGGCUAGAAACUUUCAGGCAUUGCUAGCCCAUCUGGCAAGGAAAUAUUU